CAACGGACCCAACAAAACCCAACAGCACAACAGACCCAACAGACCUAACAGGCACAACAGACCCAACAAGCACAACAGACCCAACAGGCACAACAGACCCAACGGACCCAACAGGCACAACAGGCACAACAGGCACAAUAGACUUAACAAACCCAACAGGCACAACAGACCCAACAAACCCAACAGACCCAACAAACCCAACAAGCACAACAGACCCAACAGACCUAACAGACCCAACAAACCCAACAGGCACAACAGACCCAACAAACCCAACAGACCCAACAGGCACAACAGACCCAACAGGCACAACAGACCCAACAGGCACAACAGACCCAACAGGCACAACAGACCCAACAAACCCAACAAAACCCAACAGCACAACAGACCCAACAAGCACAACAAAACCCAACAGCACAACAGACCCAACAGGCACAACAGACCCAACAGGCACAAAAGACCCAACAAACCCAACAGACCCAACAAACCCAACAGGCACAACAGACCCAACAGGCACAACAGACCCAACAAACCCAACAAACCCCAACAGCACAACAGACCCAACAGGCACAACAGAC
rnacentral:lncRNA from 1 species